UACGUAGGGGGCAAGCGUUGUUCGGAAUUACUGGGCGUAAAGGGCGCGUAGGCGGCACAGCAAGUCGGGAGUGAAAGCCCGGGGCUCAACCCCGGAACGGCUUUCGAAACUGCUGAGCUAGAGUGCAGAAGGGGCAACUGGAAUUCCCAGUGUAGCGGUGAAAUGCGUAGAUAUUGGGAAGAACACCUGAGGCGAAGGCGGGUUGCUGGGCUGACACUGACGCUGAGGCGCGAAAGCCAGGGGAGCAAAC
rnacentral:rRNA from 1 species